GACGAACGCUGGCGGCGUGCUUAACACAUGCAAGUCGAACGAAGUGGCGAACGGGUGAGUAACGCGUAAUCAACCUGCCCUUCAGAGGGGGACAACAGUUAGAAACGACUGCUAAUACCGCAUACUGCCGGAGGGGCGUGCGUCUGAUGAGAUAGUUGGAGGGGUAACGGCCCACCAAGGCGAUGAUCAGUAGCCGGUCGGAGAGGAUGAACGGCCUAAGGUGGACUGAGACACGGCCCAGACUCCUACGGGAGGCAGCAGUGGGGAAUCUUCCGCAAGUGACGAAAGUCUGACGGAGCAACGCCGCGUGAGUGAUGACGGCCUUCGGGUUGUAAAGCUCUGUUAAUCGGGACGCGGUACCGGAAUAGAAAGCCACGGCUAACUACGUGCCAGCAGCCGCGGUAAUUC
rnacentral:rRNA from 1 species